rfam:Lactococcus phage 949, complete genome.
AUUAACUGAGGACGGAACAGGCAACCGUCACACCCUAGUGGUUUAAAGAGAUGUGGGAAAUGUCACCCCACCAGUUAAU